UCUCUCUGAAUCUGCGAACGGCUCCGCAAACCAGUUGUAAACUAAAGCAAGCAAGCCGGUCGGCCGGGACCUUCGCGGGUUCUGGCCAGCUGGCAACACGGAUAACCCUGGUAAUUCUGAGGCUAAUACGAGAACGUAAUCCCCGAUUCGACCGGGUUAACCCUUUCAGUGGGGUGCUGGGGAGGUCGGGAAGCGUGCGAGCUUUACAACACGAGGCCCAAAAACCAGGAGAGGGCGCACGCUUGGACCGCGAAACAAAAAAGGAUCGGGCGGAAGCACUCUUCACCGAGCGCAGAAACCCGGCCCUAGCGGCUCUUGCUGUGUGCUUCUGACCUAUCAACUAGACGGCAGCCUAACGGACAUGCUAUGGUUACAACGGGUACAGAGGAUUAGGGUUCGAUCCUGGAGAGUGGGCCUGAGAGAUU
rnacentral:rRNA from 1 species